rnacentral:rRNA from 1 species
CGACGAUGCGUAGCCGAACUGAGAGGUUGAUCGGCCACACUGGGACUGAGACACGGCCCAGACUCCUACGGGAGACAGCAGUUAGGAAUAUUCGUCAAUGGAGGAAACUCUGAACGAGCAAUGCCGCGUGAACGAUGACGGCCCUAUGGGUUGUAAAGUUCUGUUGUUUGGAAAGAACGAUAGAUAGAGGAAAUGCUAUCUAUGUGACGGUACCAUUCAAGAAAGCCACGGCUAACUACGUGCCAGCAGCCGCGGUAAUACGUAGGUGGCGAGCGUUAUCCGGAUUUAUUGGGCGUAAAGGGUGCGCAGACGGUUUAUUAAGUCUAAAAUCAAAUCUUGGGGCUCAACCCCAUUCCGUUUUAGAAACUGGUAGACUUGAGUAUGGUAGAGGCAAAUGGAAUUCCUAGUGUAGCGGUGGAAUGCGUAGAUAUUAGGAGGAACACCAGUGGCGAAGGCGAUUUGCUGGGCCAUUACUGACGUUCAGGCACGAAAGCGUGGGGAGCAAAUAGGAUUAGAUACCCUAGUAGUCCACGCCGUAAACGAUGAGUACUAAGUGUCGGGUUACCGGUGCUGAAGUUAACACAUUAAGUACUCCGCCUGAGUAGUACGGUCGCAAGGCUGCAACUCAAAGGAAUUGACGG